CAGGAGCGUGGAAGACUCCAGAAUCCACUCUGGCUGGAAUCCGGUGGAUACAGCAGUGUUACAGAACAGUUCUCCACAGUCACUGUCCACAUGGGUCAGUGGGACCAAGCAGCACUCUGCUAAUGUGCGGACUCUGACCAGCAACAUCCAGCAAGACCCAAGCAGCGUUUUCUAUCUCCCAGCUGGAGUUUGUUUGUCUGUGACUGGAGAGUCUGAUUUUUGUUGAAGCUGGAGGAACAGAGAGGUUAAUACACGCUACUGAUCCCUGAUUGGAGAAUUAUCACCUCUGCCAACAAAGAAGCCUGGUGGAUAUUUGUUUGCAGUCUGAUGAUGGGACAUCAUGCUGUGCAUCUUCAAAGUUUGUCUCUUGAUUAUUAUUCAUACACAGUAAUGUGAAGUAUGCUCAUAUCUGAGUCUGAAUGUUGGAUGUUGUGUAUCUCGUGUUCUCUGGGCUUUGUUGUCCUCAGUCUUUUUGCAGGAUCAGAAAACAAAACCAGGAUGACCAUAAAUGUUUCUUCUCCAAUUGGAUGAUGAUAAGACUGUGACACGGGAUGCCACCUUUAGUCUUGUGAUGAAGCAAAGCUCAGGAAGAAGUGUGAUUAAAUGGUACCCACAUGUGUGCUGCUGAGAAGGAUGUACAGGGGCACCUGCAGCCAAAUCCAAGCCUCCUCAGCAACUUCAGGUCUGUCAGCGUGCUGAGGUCACAGAAACAAGAAAAGAAGCUUGACUUCAGAGUGUUGUUUACAGUUUUCUGUCAUCAUGAUCUCCCCUGAAGUUUAUCAAGCAAGCAGAGCAGCAGUUUGUGCUCACAGAUGGUGACGGUGUGGAGAGACGGUGGUGUUUCCUCUGAAGAACUAGCAGAGUCACAAAGGGCACGAGUCCAUCUCACCACCUUGACUUGUUGAUCAGUGGAUACACUUGUCUCCCCUUUAAAGGAGAUACUCUUAGAGAGAGACGAUCUGAGUCAUCCUUAAAUAUGGGCAGGAUAUCACUAUUGGACUGUCUAACCUGCAGGAGCAGCACUGAAUGAUCACCACACAUGAUCAGUUCCUGCAACAUUCAGCAGCUCUGCUUUUGUGUCAAAUGUCCAGCAGCUGGAGAGGAAACUACACCAGUAUACUGGGAUGUUUCACCAACACGUGCCAGAUGCUGUUCCUUCAUGGUGACAUCACCAGAGACGGCCCCGCCCACCUCAGGACCUCGCCAUUGAUCAUGAUGAUUUUAAUGAUGACAGCAAGCGGAACUAAGACUGUAAAAAUCAGAAUGUUUAGAUGCUUUCUAAUUAUUCAUGAAUACUGAGAGCCUCUUUCUGUGUUUUGUCUGUUUUGGGUUGGGUUUUUUUUUUUUACCUCAUUUGUUACUAACAAAGUUCAACAAACUCACACAGUUUACAUUCUGUAUGUUUCCAUCUUUACCAGCCACAGUCUACCCGCAAUUAAGAAAAUAAUCCUUAGAAAUCAUCGUUUUUCUCUUUUGUAAUUGAUGAUAAUUCAGUGAAUAUACUGCGCUGCUUCCUUUUAUUGCGUCACACAUUGCUUUAAGUUUUUCAGUGUGCAGUUAUUUUUUACUGUUGUUUGAAUUCUCUGUAUGUUUGACCCUGUAGACUGUUUGAUGGACUGCUUGUCUUCCUGUUUGUAACCGCUGCCUGUUUUUGACUAAAGAUUUGGAUUUCUGACUUUAACACAGCCUCUGCGUGUCCUCCCUUUGUGUCCUCUUCCUCUGUGAAUGUGUUGCAUGUGUCACAGAUUCAUUUUAUUAACAGCUUUCCCACAGUCAGUUGCAUCAGCAUUCAUUCACAGCACAUUUCAGAAGGAUUCAGAUUAAUACAGUGAUCUUACAGUCAGAAUUAUCCUGACAGACUGCCACUGUAAAUUAUCUUUCAUCAGGUCAAUUUUAAAGUUCAGUAUUUCAAAGCAGGAGUUAUGAAGAAUCAUACUGGCAUUAGGACUGUAACAAUAUGUACUUACAAAGUCAAAGUUUUUUUUAAUUAUGCUAGAAUAUUGGAAGACAAUCAGCUUUUAGUGUUUUCUGCAUAUUAAUUAUACUGAAAUAGAGAUGGUGACCCUAACUGUACAGAAGCACUAAACAACUGACAAUCUAACAAACAUUAUUGGCCUGAGCCGUCAUGCACAGUGAGUCUGAUCCUGUGCUGUGA